rnacentral:ribozyme from 1 species
UCGGAAUCGGUUCCGCCCUCGAGGAUCCCUUUGGGGACGACAUCACCGACCUUCCCAUGGGGAAGUUCUGCGAGGCCAUUGCGGCGCAGGUCGAGGCCGUUUAUCACGAUGAGAUUCCGGUCCUUGUGGGCGGAGGGU